CCUACGGGUGGCAGCAGUGAGGCAUAUUGGUCAAUGGACGAGAGUCUGAACCAGCCAAGUAGCGUGAAGGAUGACUGCCCUAUGGGUUGUAAACUUCUUUUAUAAAGGAAUAAAACGAGGCACGUGUGCCUUUUUGCAUGUACUUUAUGAAUAAGGAUCGGCUAACUCCGUGCCAGCAGCCGCGGUAAUACGGAGGAUCCGAGCGUUAUCCGGAUUUGUUGGGUUUAAAGGGAGCGUAGAUGGGUUGUUAAGUCAGUUGUGAAAGUUUGCGGCUCAACCGUAAAAUUGCAAUUGAUACUGGCAGUCUGGAGUACAGUUGAGGUAGGCGGAAUUCGUGGUGUAGCGGUGAAAUGCUUAGAUAUCACGAAGAACCCCGAUUGCGAAGGCAGCUUACUAAACUGUGACUGACAUUGAUGCUCGAAAGUGUGGGUAUCAAACAGGAUUAGAUACCCCUGUAGUC
rnacentral:rRNA from 1 species